rnacentral:misc_RNA from 1 species
AACGCAUAUUGCGCCCGAGGCUUCGGCCGAGGGCAUGUCUGCCUGAGCGUCAGCGCGACCAUCACCUCUUUUUUUCAUCUAGAAAAGCAGGUGGAUCUGGCUGUCGGGUGCUUGUCACUCGUCGGCUGAAGCGUAUUGAUCGUUCGCCCUCUGGUUUGAUUCGGAGCUUCAGGCGUUCGGCGUGGUAGGUUUUACUUGUUAAAACACAAUCGCCGUUCUCUUUCCGGAUCCGGCUGAGUGUGCGUUACGGUUGGGGAACCGCUAUCAUUCACUUUAUAUUGCGAACUUGACCUCAGAUCAGGCAAGGCUACCCGCUGAAUUUAA